GAGCCACAUGGGAGGGAUGAACUUGAGAACUUACAAAAUUAAAACAAAAGGCAGAAGACCUAGAGUCAAGUGCUUGUGGAUGAAGUCAGCAAAUGCUUGGUCCCUGCCCAGGGUGGCUCCCAGCAGGGAUUCUCAACAAAAGUCUUCCCGGCAGGCUCCAAGUGGCUGGGCCUGCGAGAUGCUGUGACUCUUCAAGAGCUUCCUGUUUCUGUGAAGAUGCUCAGGCCAUGGCCUCAUGUUCCUCAUCCAGCUUUCUGAGGACAAUGCGGGAAAGAUCUCAAGUCCGUAUCAAGGCUGAAUCCGACUCUAUCCACGUGACUUCUAUUGGAAUCCGAGAGUUGGACCCAAUGGAGGGUCCAGCCACCACCCGGAAUGACCUGGUCAUCUUCCAGAUGAGGGGACCUAUGUUUAGAUGAAUGAAGACAAUGAGGCUGAGAGAUGUUCAGUUACUUGGUCAAAUUACAAAUAUGUGCGCUUCAAA